UUGACGUAUAUUGUUCAUAAGUUUUUUUAGUUUCUCGCGUUUUUUUAAAGAUUAAAUUUUUGUUUUCCUGUUUGAACGGGUUUACACUAGUUAUUUGGGGCCCAUAAUAGCUUCCGAGUUGAAGACCGUAUACGUAAUUGGUUUACUUUUACAAAUUGUGACUUGGAUGGAGAGUUGUCUUAUUGGCACUCUUUAUACCACCUCUUCUUAUAUCUAUUAUCUAUAUCUAUGUAAAGUUC
rnacentral:lncRNA from 1 species